GAAUAGCUCGAACCGGACAGUCCGGGCGUUGCUCGUCUGCGCAUACGUUCGCCGAUCGAGUUCCGACGCUCCGAAUCCCCAAGCACCCUCCUCUCAUCUUCUCCCAACUCUCGAUGUCGAGCUCGAUGUGCGGAGAGUGAAAGCGCGUCUUGGAAACAGGCAAGGAAAGAAGCAACAGAUCUGCAAGUAGUUGAUGAAGAUGAGCCAUGAGGUUUUGAACCUAUAGGACACAUGCUAUGUAAUUGAACAUGCAUUAGGGUUUUCAUCACUGAACAAGCUGAAACCUGCUACCAGAGUCUGAUCAAAGUGGUCAGGAAUGACUGCACUCGCUUCACUUGUGUUGCUGCUGCAUUCACCAGCUGCUGGAGCCAUCUCAAUCUUUCUGGUGAUGAUUUCUGCUCUUUUACCAGUCUUCUUCUUGAGCUUCUUCACAACCUUUUCUGGGUCAACUUCACCAGUUACGAUGGCUCUGUGGCUGUUCAUGUCCACUUUGACAGCUUCCACACCUACAAGGAGUUUGAUUCAUGUUACUGAAUCCAGUUUGAUAUGUUGUAUAUGCUCACCAAGCGAGUAGCCGAUACGUAUAUUAUACCUUCAAGUUUUCUGAGAGUGUUGUGUACUGAUCUUUCACAGGCUUUGCAAUGCAUGUACACUUUCAGCUCCAAAACAGUUUCCUGUUGUUUAUGAGAACCAUCAUGAAUUGAUAGCACAGAAUAGAAGAAUGGGCACAUUUUGGUAUCAAA